UUUCGUAAAUUUACUUUGAGUAUCUCCUUCUUAAAAAGAAACGUUAAUUCGGAUAUACUGAGACCUGAAUAUCUGCAUGCGCGCCAAUGUUUACAAAAGGAAUGUCCAGUAUUUUUGGUGUAUUUCGAUGAUACUUUUACACAUUAGAACAACUGAAUAAAAUCUCCUUUCAAUUAACUAUCGAUAUAUCUGGUAUUUUACGUAAGACUGAGUCCCAAUAUUAUUGCAAUUUGGUAGCAAAGAUGUUGACACCACAUGUCGUCUGAUGAUGAGUUUUACAGGAUCGAAUAAGGUUUGGUCAUUGUAUUCCCUGAAAGGAACAAAAGGAGAAAAGAAACUGGAAGACCUGCAUGCCUAUCCGCAGGCCAAUGCUGGCUGCAGAUCAAUAUUGAAUGCUCUUAUGAAAACUCCUAAGACAUUAACAAAAAAAGGAAGCUGAGGAUGCUGUUUUUAAAACAUUCCAUUCAAAAAUGGUGGAUUGAAAUUUAAGAAAGGUGUGACGGGUGCGGCUACUGCAGGCAGGGAGGAUUUGACGGUCAGCCAGAGGAUUUGGAGAGAUACUGUAAUGUCUUUAAUGUGGACUUGCGUGUGAUUUAAGUUUUCACAAGGGUUUUAGUGUGUGUGAAAGUAUGUCGGUUUUCAAAAUUGAGCUAUGACAGUUGCUCAAACUACAUAACUCAAAGAACUUUGAAGCGGUCUUGUUGACGUCAUGAGCUUUUGUUUAAUACCAGUAUUGGUGAUAUAGGCCCAUGAUUAUAUACUGUAGAAAGUGAACAAGUUCACUGCUCGAUACAGAUAAUCAUAUGGCCUGAUCUCUGAAUGAUAUUUAUGAACCAAAAGAAGGCAUAAAAUAAAAACAUACUGUAGUGAUUUAAAUUAUUGAUAUUGUUAAACUAGAUCUGGGCCUGUAUUCAUAAAGGAUCUUAGUAAAAAAAAUUAUC
rnacentral:lncRNA from 1 species